UACGUAGGGGGCAAGCGUUGUCCGGAAUCAUUGGGCGUAAAGCGCGUGUAGGCGGCCCAGUAAGUCCGCUCUGAAAGCCCGGGGCUUAACCCCGGGAGGCGGGUGGAUACUGCUGGGCUCGAGUCCGGAAGAGGCGAGUGGAAUUCCCGGUGUAGCGGUGAAAUGCGCAGAUAUCGGGAGGAACACCAAUGGCGAAGGCAGCUCGCUGGGACGUGACUGACGCUGAGACGCGAAAGCGUGGGGAGCAA
rnacentral:rRNA from 1 species